UGCGGCUCUCGCACAAACCUACCGACCACCGAGAGCACAUCGUUCACAUCGAUGGGGUCACAGGUUCGAGUCCUGUUGCGACCA
rnacentral:tRNA from 1 species